rnacentral:rRNA from 1 species
GCCCGUAAACGAUGUCGAUUUGGAGGUUGUGCCCUUGAGGCGUGGCUUCCGGAGCUAACGCGUUAAAUCGACCGCCUGGGGAGUACGGCCGCAAGGUUAAAACUCAAAUGAAUUGACGGGGGCCCGCACAAGCGGUGGAGCAUGUGGUUUAAUUCGAUGCAACGCGAAGAACCUUACCUGGUCUUGACAUCCACAGAACUUUCCAGAGAUGGAUUGGUGCCUUCGGGAACUGUGAGACAGGUGCUGCAUGGCUGUCGUCAGCUCGUGUUGUGAAAUGUUGGGUUAAGUCCCGCAACGAGCGCAACCCUUAUCCUUUGUUGCCAGCGGUCCGGCCGGGAACUCAAAGGAGACUGCCAGUGAUAAACUGGAGGAAGGUGGGGAUGACGUCAAGUCAUCAUGGCCCUUACGACCAGGGCUACACACGUGCUACAAUGGCGCAUACAAAGAGAAGCGACCUCGCGAGAGCAAGCGGACCUCAUAAAGUGCGUCGUAGUCCGGAUUGGAGUCUGCAACUCGACUCCAUGAAGUCGGAAUCGCUAGUAAUCGUAGAUCAGAAUGCUACGGUGAAUACGUUCCCGGGCCUUGUACACACCGCCCGUCACACCAUGGGGAGUGGGUUGCAAAAGAAGUAGGUAGCUUAACCUUCGGGAGGGCGCUUACCACUUUGUGAUUCAUGACUGGGGUGAAGUCGUACAAAGGUAACCA